ACAAUCUGUUCAAAGCGUCUUGAUGGAUCAUCACAGGAGGAACGUUUGGUGUUUUAAAGGAGUUCAGCUUCACCUGCUUUUGGUGCUUUGCACUGAGUGACGGUUCCCUGAAUGAUAAGAGUGGACUUGUUGAAGCUACAGGUGACAGUCGGCCACAGACGCUCAGUGAAGAACCAACAGCUGAUGGUGGACCUGGAAUUAGUAUCAACUAUAUCCUGCAUUAGGACUGCAGCUAGUGAGUAGCUCCACCUACUGGUCAAACUAAGAACUACAAUACAGUCAAGGGCAAGUUUCAUGUGUGGGCCACAUUCCAUUCUAUUUUUAUAAUUUGCUGGGCCAAUAAAAAAUGGAUCCCGGGCCGCAGUUGGCCCGCGGGCCGUAUUUUGGACACCCCUGUAUUAAAGCAACGAGGAAGACGACAGUUGCACUGCUAUGGCAACGCCAUCUGUUGCUAGGGACUACGGCUUGGACGAAGGAGGGGGGGGAUACUUAGACGCGGCGCGAGGAGAUUCUGUCCCGCGACCAGCGGAACGUAGAUCAGCAACGUGAAUCAGGAUGGUCGGAUCCAUGUGUGUGCAGUUACAGAACCAACGAUGUGGCUGGCGAUACGAAAUGAAACCACAGGCAAACGGAUCUCACGGCGGAGACCCGGGAAAAGAAAAGAAAAUAAGGAACUAUUCUGACCAUGAGACAUCAUUCAACAGCGUAACACAGUCGGCGCUUUCACUCUCUUACAGCAAACGUAUCACAGCAUCAGAUCAACAGGGGACAUUACGACAUUUGCAGGUACACAUUCAAACAUAAAUCAAAGGUAGCGGAUUCGUUGAUCCGGACUCUAUCGUACCACGUUAUGACUGAACAAAUCACAUAAACAUCAAGUUCAUAUCAACACGCUAAAUUAGUCUGCCCAGAAAACCAGUGUUACUGUUUGAUGGGCGUUGGUCAUCAGCUUCCAGCUGACUGAGGACAGUUGAGCUCCGCGUAGGGAAACUCUGUGGAUGAAGGCGAUUUCGGCCGUGGGGUCCGAACUUCUCGUUGGGAACAGAGGC
ensembl:lncRNA